CCUACGGGAGGCAGCAGUCGGGAAUAUUGCGCAAUGGAGGAAACUCUGACGCAGUGACGCCGCGUGCAGGAAGAAGGUUUUCGGAUUGUAAACUGCUUUAGACAGGGAAGACAAAAGACAGUACCUGUAGAAUAAGCUCCUGCUAACUACGUGCAAGUAGCCGCGGUAAUAUGCAGGGAGCAAGCGUGGACCGGGUUUAUGGGUUGUAAAGGGUGCUUAGACGGGUAAGCGAGUUGGUAGUGAAAUCCCUGGGCUUAACUGAGGAACUGCAACUAAAACUACUUCCCUUGAGUACUGGAGAGGAAAGUGGAAUUCGUAGUGUAGCGGUGAAAUGCGUAGAUAUUGGGAGGAACACCAGUGGCGAAGGCGACUUUCUGGACAGUAACUGACGUUGAGGCACGAAAGUGUGGGGAGCAAACAGGAUUAGAUACCCCAGUAGUC
rnacentral:rRNA from 1 species